UACCAAUUCACCGACUUGAUACCCCCGAAGGCGCACUUUCUGACCAAAUACUUUCUUCAUUCGUCUCUGACCGAGAUACGUCAAUUCUGGGUACGUAGUUCCGGCAUAGCACCUUAAUCAUCGAAGACAAGGUAAGCAAAGCAUCAACAAAUUGGUUUUCUUCAAAAGAAAGUCAACAAUCUUCUCGUGUAGUCUCUGUAAGGAGCCAGAUGAGGCUGAGGUGUAUACCAUUUCCCGUUGGUUUG
rnacentral:lncRNA from 1 species